CCGCCCCCUUCGCCCCCUCCGCCGCGCCCCUGUCCCUAAUGCAGGUCAGAUGCUACUGGAACCCGCUGCCUCCCCUGGCACCCAGCCCUCAGGCCACCUAGUGUUGGAACUGAAAUGAUAAGUGGCAGCCCUCUCAUGGAAUAGCAUUGAUUUUUAAACCAUGGUGACCGAUGCAGGGCAGAGAAAGGAGAAGCCUCUCAGCACCCUCGUUUUCAGCCAUGGCCUUCCUGAGUCCAUUCAGGAAAACAAAAGCCCUGCAAUUAGAUGGGCCUUCUCUCCUUGGAAAGAACAAACAUCACCAUUAAACAUGACCCUGGACGGUGGAGAGCGAGGAAGGAUCUCACUCUCCAGCCCAAAUGACUAAUAGAAGAUUCCUGGUAGGAACGUGUGGCGCUCAGCCAGAAAGAGUCACCAUCCCAUGUUCCACUGAUGUUUGUUGUCUCUCACUGCCAGCUCCCAGUUCCUUUUACACCUGCGAUUGUAACCGGGCCUAUGUUAGAUGAAUCAUAAGGUGUUUGUUUUCCUUUAUCGUGGUCCUUGGCUUCCUCCAGGCAUGCCUGUUUGCACAUAGUCCUUUUAAUAGAAGGGAGUCCCUUGUCAUUAACUUUAUAUCCUGGCCCCAAGCCUCCUCACAUGAUUAAUGAACUUGUUUUUCUUUUAAAGAACAAUGAUCUUUAGGUUAGGCAGAUCUCUUUGAUGGCAUCCAGAAGUUUGAUCGGGCUGGGCCGAGGGACGCAAACAGCUUUGAUCAUGGGGGAUCUUACCUCCCACAUACUUACCUUACCCAUAGAGGCGCCAGCUGUGGUCCUGAACUGAUUCAGAAAUUUCAGUAUUCUGAAUUCUGUAUUUCUGAGGCCUUUAAAAAAAUGAUCCUUUGAUAUAUCUACUGAAAAGUUCUGGAAACAAUAAGUAUCCUUAGUAUCAUAUUAGGGUUACUAAAUAUCACUUCCCUCCAGAGAGAACCAGGGCUUUUUGGAGAAGGCUGAUUUUAUAAACUGAAUAAGAUAACCCUAGAAUAUCUCAUCACACCAGAAAGCAAGGAUGUUAUCAAAGACUUCUGAGGUCUUGUCAUAAGCUGGGGCAAAACGGAGACAAUUUAAACAUCAUUAAAGGCAGUAACUGCAAUGCCUCAAAACACUUCAAUUAUGUUGAAAUCUAUUUGCUCAUAAUGUUCUUUUUAAAAGUACAUUGAUUAUCUUUGAAGAAUGCUAAGAAGCCCAACUCAUUAUUUUUAAAAGCUGGUAAAGAAAGGAAAGGGAUCAAGCAUGUAUUAUCUUAACUUUCCUGUACAAACUAUACGUCAGUAUAAGCAAAUAGUAGAUAAAGGCGAGUUUCUCUUUGUAAAAGUAUUGCAGCUAAUAAAUGAAGGGACGAUAGAAUUAGAAUGUUGCCAUUUUACUUCCCUUAAUGAGUUAAUGAAUCUGGACACCGAAUGUACAUGGCUGAUAAUAUUAGAGGGAGAGGGAAAGAGAAACACCCUGACAUUCUAAGCCUUCGGAUGGAAAUCCGCAAUGCUACCCAUCUAUGACAUGUUAUCGCCAAACAAAACAAAACAAAAAAACCCUGAAUCUGAACAAGCCUGUACAUCACAGGUUAGCAAUCUGCCUUCUUGGGACCAAAUCUGGCCAACUGCCUGUUUUUAUAAAUAAAGUUUUAUUGAAACACAGCCAUAGCCAUUCGUUUAAGUCAUAGCAACAAAGACAGAAGGGCCCACAAAGACCAAAAUACUUGCUGUCUAACCCUUUUCAGUGAAAGUCUGCCAACCCCUGCUAUAGAUCAAAAGAAUCCCAGUACCCCUAUCAGUCUCUUGCAAUAGAUGGACCUUAUUCAGUCCUGAUUUGAACAAAAUGACAAAAUUGUUUAUGAGACAAUUAGAGAAAUUUGA
rnacentral:lncRNA from 1 species